CGGUCUGUAGCUCAGUUGGUAGAGCAGCUGACUCUUAAUCAGCGGGCCCAGGGUUCGAAUCCCUGCAGACCGACCA
rnacentral:tRNA from 3 species